rnacentral:rRNA from 1 species
UGAGCUUGAAUCCUGGCUCAGGAUGAACGCUAGCGGCAGGCUUAACACAUGCAAGUCGAGGGGUAUUAGUUUUCGGACUAAGAGACCGGCGCACGGGUGCGUAACGCGUAUGCAAUCUACCUUUUACAGAGGGAUAGCCCAGAGAAAUUUGGAUUAAUACCUCAUAGUAUAAUGACUCGGCAUCGAGAUAUUAUUAAAGUCACAACGGUAAAAGAUGAGCAUGCGUCCCAUUAGCUAGUUGGUAAGGUAACGGCUUACCAAGGCUACGAUGGGUAGGGGUCCUGAGAGGGAGAUCCCCCACACUGGUACUGAGACACGGACCAGACUCCUACGGGAGGCAGCAGUGAGGAAUAUUGGACAAUGGGCGCAAGCCUGAUCCAGCCAUGCCGCGUGCAGGAUGACGGUCCUAUGGAUUGUAAACUGCUUUUAUACGAGAAGAAACACUGCUUCGUGAAGCAGCUGACGGUAUCGUA